AACAGCACUCUGUAGGGUAGCACCAUGGUGAAGCCAGUGGACAGCCAGCUUCCUUCCUCCUCUGGAUAUAUUGACUACAAUACAAAACCUAGGAGGUUGGUGGUUCUCACCCAGUUCCAGACUUACACAGUAAAUUCCAGAGAUUGUCCUCCAACCUAGAGAUAGAUUGUCGUUUUUUAAACUUUCAGUUUCACUUAUUUAGCUAGCAAAUGCAGCUAGCUAGUUUGCCUACUGAAACACCCAGCUCAAACAGAGGGAUGCUAUGUUAUCUAGCUGGCUAUGACUAUACAACACUGGAACUCUUCCAAGUUAAGAUCGGUGGGAGAAGUCAACAGCCACAUACUGUACAUGUAGAUUUGUCUGUGUGGAGAAACACACAGAGGAGGCACCAUUCAUCGAGGACAUCAUGAUGACAUACGAACCCAAAGGACCAGACACACAACGUUGUUUGGGAGAUGAGUGAACUCACACCUUGGGGAAGAGAUGGAAGACUACAGGGCACAUUAAACAUGUUCAUGGUAUAUUUUUUAUUUUACACAAAGUAUCUCUAUGCCAAGGUGUAAGCAGUAAAUUAUUUUCACUGUUAUUUUCUAUCAUUGAG
ensembl:lncRNA